GCACUGCUUAGGAGUUCCACAAUAGGACGAAACGGCCGUCCAGUGC
rfam:Schistosoma mansoni, Puerto Rico, WGS project CABG01000000 data, contig: 0049